rnacentral:sRNA from 1 species
GCCAGGCAUAGUGGUGCACACCUGUAAUCCCAGCAGCUUGGGAGGCUGAGACAGGAGGAUCAUGAUUUCAAAGCCAGCCUCAGCAACAGCAGGGUGCUAAGCAACUCGGUGAGACCCUGUCUCUA